GACGAACGCUGGCGGCGUGCUUAACACAUGCAAGUCGAACGCUGAAGCUUGGUGCUUGCACUGGGUGGAUGAGUGGCGAACGGGUGAGUAAUAAGUGAGUAACCUGCCCUUGACUCUGGGAUAAGCCUGGGAAACUGGGUCUAAUACUGGAUACGACAUGUCACCGCAUGGUGGUGUGUGGAAAGGGUUUUACUGGUUUUGGAUGGGCUCACGGCCUAUCAGCUUGUUGGUGGGGUAAUGGCUCACCAAGGCGACGACGGGUAGCCGGCCUGAGAGGGUGACCGGCCACACUGGGACUGAGACACGGCCCAGACUCCUACGGGAGGCAGCAGUGGGGAAUAUUGCACAAUGGGCGGAAGCCUGAUGCAGCGACGCCGCGUGAGGGAUGACGGCCUUCGGGUUGUAAACCUCUUUCAGCACGGAAGAAGCGAAAGUGACGGUACGUGCAGAAGUAGCGCCGGCUAACUACGUG
rnacentral:rRNA from 1 species